rnacentral:rRNA from 1 species
CUACGGGAGGCAGCAGCAGGGAAUAUUGCACAAUGGGCGAAAGCCUGAUGCAGCGACGCCGGGACGCGCGUGAGGAUGAAGUCCUCCUGGUCGUAACCUCUUCAGGAGGAAGAAGCGCAAGUGACGGUACUCCAGAGAGCCCGUCACUACGUGCCAGCAGCCGCGGUAAU